rnacentral:lncRNA from 1 species
AGAGCUGGGGAGGCUGGGGAGGCGGCUGGCCGGCGGGAAAAAGUGGAGACCAGGAUGCUCAGAUCCUGAAGGCUGAAGGCUACCCAGUAGAGGCAGCCUCAAGCCCACUGCCAGAGUCCGCCGGCGGCUCUGCGGUUCCAGGAUCAGCAGUCUCGGUGGAGAUGCUUCUAGGAGACGUCCUGGAGUUGGAAGAGGCCAGCGGCUGGGCUGGCCGUUCUCCUUCCGCCGGCUCACUCCCGCCUGCGCCGGCGGCCGCCCGCCUGCCAGCACUAAGGUCACUCCGCCAUCGCGGCCAUCUUGUUCCUCUGGCUGAAUUAAAUCCAUUUCUAAGAACACCCCCACCCCCACCGCACCCCUCAGCGCACCCGCACCUACACCGCAGCCCCUCUGCAGGGCCCCUGCCUCCUUUUGUAACCGCGAGGCAGUAUCCCAAGUCAGAGGCAUUUGUAGAAGAUCUAUGGAACAGUAGACAGAGCCUGAAGUCAGGAAGACCUCUUUCCUGACCACCAAUCUGACCUCUCACACAGAUGAGCCUGUGAUGCUAGGAAAGUCACAACCCUGUGGCCUUCAGUUUCCUCCUCUGAGGUGAGCUAAGGAAAGAAAUGGCGAGUCCCUCCAGUAUCUUGGCCAAGAAAACUCCAAAUUUUGUCACAAAGAGAUCUGUAUGAAUGAGCAGUAAAUGAAUCCCAGAGACUUCUGCCUACAUAGAUUAUUUCUUUCUUUGUACUUGCAUCCUCCCUCCCUAGCAUGGUGUUUGACAUUAUGCAGGUUACUACUAACAAAUUCUUUUUUAAUGAUUGAUUCUAUUUUUUUUCUACUCCUGAUUUGCUCCACUGAAGACUUCUUCUGAUGCCUUAUUGUGACCUGGAGAUGAGUCUGAAUUCCUGAAGAUUUAAAUUAAUUGAUUAAGUACAUUUUAAAUACAGGCUGGAAUAUGCUGGAACUAUCUCCAGAUGCUUAAGAAAGCCAAUUGUUACAUUUUAAGAGGGAGCAUUUAUCCCUCGGGAAUCAGUACAUAUUGAAUAUCAGGGUUUGAUUUAUUGUUUGUUUAUUGUCUAGACAUAAUCAAGUGAAGGAGGAAUUUAGUGAUGAAGAUUAGACAUCAUUGUGUGCCAUAACUUUUUAUUUAUUUAUUUUUUGGCAGCCAAUUAUUAAUCAUUUGCCCAUAUACUCCUAAAUAAAGGACUUCACUCUAGGUGAAAAACA